ensembl:lncRNA
CACACACACACACACACACACACACACACACACACACACACACACACACACACACACACACACACACACACACACAUAUAUAUAUAUAUAUAUGUCAUUUACAUCUCAGAUGGCCCGAGGGUGAGUAAACUGUCAGCAAAUGUUCAUUUUAGGAUUUAAGAAUUUUUUAGAUGUUGUACAAAACAAGACAAAUGUAAAGGACAGUAGGAAAAUCAUUUCUUGCAUCUAUAAAAGUUGUUCAUUCAGUCUUGCCUGUCUUCCCUCUGAGCACCUCAGCUAUACAAAGGAAAAGAAUUCAGAAUGAUAUUAUCAACUUUUUACAAAUAAUGUACUUAAAAUAUAUAGAUAUACUAUAUAUGCACUGUUCAAAUGUCUGAGUCAAGCAACACACUUGGUGGCAUAUGUGAUCUAGGUGGGCUUAAGAUGGCUGUCAUAUUAGAGAGGGUGGGCAGGUGGAUAUGAGCAGUCCUGUGCUUGCACUAUAGUCAAUGUUUCAAAGCUUCAGGUAGUUUUCACUCCCCUUUUCACACACACAUAUCUUGGCUCUGUGAGACUGUUUCACACUCUGCCUCUGCAUUCAAAGACAGACAGACUCACACUCAUUACAAUAACACCAUUUCUCAAUUUCCUCUCCCACUUGUUCCCGCUUAUAUAACAUGACUGACACAUUGUUGCUUUGUGUUGCCACCUCUUCCCAGUCUGAAUGCUUUUUUUUUUCAAUGCAUCAAUCAGAUCCCUUGCUGAAAUUCUAAACUUUUCAUUAGUUUCGAUAGCUGCUCGUCUCUGAUUGCAAUGUCAAGUUCCUGCUUCACCGCUCAUAACUGGAUAAAGGGUCUUCUCAUUUUCUCACUCCAUCUAAAUAAAUCUGAGAAUGAUUUUUCUUCCCAAGAAUCUUCACAAUGCCAGCAUGUCUUCAAAGACUCUUCCCAAAACCUAGUGAGCUGCCUUGCUGUCUACGUCCUAUAUAGGAAGCAUCCUAGCCAAAAUUCAAAUCAUUUGGAGUGCUCUAUGUAGUCAGUGAACAGGAGAAUCAACUCGCACCUGAUUUUAAUAGUUGGGCAUUAGCCUGCUGCUAUGCUACUGUUUUUAUCAGUAAUGAAUUUUAAAAAGCAAUAUUUUCUUGCUUUGUCCACCAGAUAUAUAUAU